rnacentral:rRNA from 1 species
GAUCUACCGUUGGUCAGAGUGAAGGGCGGGUAAAACCGCCUGGAGGCUUGAACGCGUGAACGUUGAAAAGUUCUGCGAUGAACUGACGGGAGGACUAAAAGUGUAAUCAAACUGGGAGAUAGCUCGUUCUUUCCGAAAUACCUUUAGGGGUAGCCUCGUACAAUGCCAUUGGGGGUAGAGCGACUGGAUGGACUUAGGGGCCUACCCGGUCACCUGGUCCAACCAAACUCCGAAUACCAGUGGUUCAGUACGGGAGAAAGACGUUGAGUGACAAUAUCCAACGUCAAGAGGAGAAAAAUCCAGACCGCCGGCUAAGGCCCCGAAACUACGUUAAGUUCUAAAGGAAGUCAGAGUGCAGUGACAUCCAGGAUGUUGGCUUAGAAGCAGCCAUCAUUUAAAGAGUGCGUAACAGCUCACUGGACGAGGAUUCUGGCGCCGAUAAUUAUCGGGAAUAAGCGUAGUGCCGAAGCCGCGGACUCUACUAUGAGUGGUAGGAAAGCGUAGCACGUGCGGCGAAGCAGGACCGUAAGGCACUGUGGAGCGCGUGCUAGUGAGCAUGCAGGCUUGAGUAACGAUAAAGCAGGUGAAAAUCCUGCUCGCCGUAAGCCCAAGGGUUCCUGGGGAAGGUAAAUCCGCCCAGGGUUAGUCUGGACCUAAGACGAGGCUGAACAGCGUAGUCGAUGGAAAUCAGGUGAAUAUUCCUGAACCAACCCCUGUAUAAACGGAUCUGUGGACUCAACGGGACUGUCAGAUGUCCAGGCCGUAAGGCCGAUGUUGGGAAAGUGGGUUCCUAGAAAAGCAGGGAUGCCAGUACCAAAACUGACACAGGUGGGCGAGGCGAAUAGCCUCAGGCGCUCGAGAGAACGGUCGUGAAGGAACUAGGCAAAUUAACCCCGUAAGUUCGCGAUAAGGGGGCCCUACCCGCAAGGGAGGGCGCAGAGAAAAGGCUCUGGAACUGUUUAUCAAAAACACAGCUCUGUGCUAACUCGGAAGAGGAUGUAUACAGAGUGACGCUUGCCCGAUACCGGAAUGUCAAGAAAGUGGGUCAGCGAAAGCGAAGCUCGCGAUUUAAGCACCGGUGAAUGGCGGCCGUAACUAUGACGGUCCUAAGGUAGCGAAGUUCCUUGUCGGGUAAGUUCCGACGCGCAUGAAUAGCGUAAUCACUGGAGCACUGUCUCCACGACCGACUCGGUGAAAUAGAAGUGGCGGUGUAGAUGCCGCCUCCCCGCAGCAAGACGGAAAGACCCCGUGGACCUUCACUGCAGGUUUUUAUUGGUCACGAGCAUACUCUG